rnacentral:lncRNA from 1 species
AUAAAUCGUUCUGAGGAGGGCCCAUAUCCAGGUCGAAACGUUAACUAAAAAUACGUUUUCUUAAUUGACCGAUCACCAAGACUCUAUAAUAUAUUACAUACGAGGUCGAGAAUUCUUAUCCAUCAACUAUUAUGAAAACAUGUGGGACUCAUGGGAUUAAGAUGGAAUGCAACUCACAAUGAUCUAGACCCUGAUCGACGGCUGCUGGUCACUUCCCCUGGUGUAUGAGACCUCUCCCGGCUACGGCUUCGCAAAUCAUAAUGAUGUUCAGUAGACGCAGUAAAUUUUCGUGGUAUUCGAAAAAAUCUCAGACAUAACAUAAACGUAAGAAAUUACAACACGCUCGGAGUGAAAGGUGUGGAACGGUCUCGGAAAUAUUAGAGAUAUUUCUUAUACUCCGAAGAAGUAGGUACGGUAGGCAGAUGCGUAAGACAUGACUGAAUUCAAACGAAGGGGAAGAAUAGCGUGUACAUAUACGUAUGCAGCACGAACAACAGCAGCUGCCCGCCACCCGUAAUACUACUACGAGUUCCACGUAAAUCGACUACAGAAUAUCUAAAAAUAGACAACUUACCAAGCUUAUCCCGAAGUGCAGGAGAGUCGCGGUGUCGCUGGUAUUACGGGUACAUAAAACACCGUAUUAUCGCGUGUACUUCACAGAAAAAAUGUUCACAUAAAUUAAACUUAAAUAACACGAGUACAUAAGCUACAGUAUGUACAGAAUACCGAAUACAUCUAAUCCCAUUAGUUUACUUCAUAGGUAGAAAAAUACUGGUCAGCUAUCAAACAACCGCCACUAGAUGUACGAUUCACGCUAGCGAUACGAUACGUGCCUUCUACACGCACAACACUGAUGACGUCAUUCUACUAAUAAUGCGUCGGAGCUCCGCUCCCCGAUUUGGGGGGGAGGGGAAUAGAAAGUUUAAGGUUCAAAUCUGUGCCGCAGGAACCGCGCGGCGUCGACAUAACCUUAGAACAACAACCAAUCAGAACGCCUACAAUAUGAAAGUUUUUCAAGACAAGGAUUUUCAUUGGCUCAUGCAUGCCGCGUGUCAAUCGUUAUGGCGGUCGAUUCGAACUGUUCGAAGCAUCCCGUCCCCCGCGCUCUAUGUAAGUCGACGCAACCGUUGGUUGAAAUGCGUUGCUGAUUGUUGCUCACGCGCAAUUUGGCAGCUGUGAAAAUACCGUCGCCACAACUUGGUGCAGUUUUAUUGAAAAAGAUUAUAAUAGAGAAUUGAUUUUAUUGAUUUCAAACUCACGGGAUCACAAUACAUUCUGGGAUAUUCAAUUUUUUCAACUUUCAGAAGCUUUUCACGUUCAAAUCAGUAAUUGGAAGAAAAGAAACCUUGGUUGAAACUGACCUUUCGCUCUGAAUGAGGAGUUUGUGGAUGGAAUUAAAUUAGAAUUUCCAAUUUGACUUCCUAACAGUAUUCAGUGAUACUAUUAGUGUAUUCAAUCACGCAUCAUUGAUGAAUAAUUUCUUUUUGAAUUCAUUUUAACCCGACAUUCUUCACUUGAACCUAUCAAAUCAUUUUAUCACUAGCACAGCUCUUACACACCCAUUCAUAUUUUUUAUGGGACAAAAAUUUCAUUGCCAUGUUAAGCUUUUCAAAUCCGCUAUGUAUAGCACUACACCACAUUAAAUUUCCUAAUUUAUUUAUAAUAUUGAAACUAAAAAUGUACAUGCAAAGUAAAUUAGUUUAAAAUUUUUAUUUUAAGAAGUACAUGAGAAUAGACAGAAGUUUAUUUCUUGGCUUCACGGACAGCCUUGCGUUCAGCUGCUCUCUUGAGCUGUGCCUUAGGCUUCAAGUUGUGCUUCUUAGCAAAACGCUGGUUA